AACGUUUUCCUUUCAAUCAAUAUAUGCCACGAAAAUUCCGUCAAAUAUGGGUUUAAUUCCAUAGGUUUCCUGUCAAAAAUUGUUAUUUUAUUUUCGAAUUUCGUCUCCAUUACAACUAGCCAAAUCCACUCCAAAAUUCUGUUUUUAUACUAUCAAAAUUAUAAUCUUUUAAAUUAUUUCAUAAAUUAGAACAUGGAAUACAGCGGAGUGCGGUUACCCGGAAUUUUUUGUCCGGAUGAAAGCAUUGAGCAGUUUGCAAGACUUUACGGAAGUGAUAAUUUUAGCAAAAUGAUGAUAAUAGCCACGACCAGUCCUCCGACGACUAUGCAGGCCACAACUCAUUCGCCUCCAGGAAUGAUGGUGGGUAAUCCGUCCAGGUUUCAAGGGAAUGCAUCAACAGCUCACGAUCGAAAUCUAAAAGUUAAUCACCGAUAUGCUCACACUCGAACAAUCUUUCCAGUAAUGUGGAGGACCCAUCCUAUCCGCACCGGGUCAUGAUGGGUCCGUCCAGGUUUCAUGGAAAUCUACCACCUAUUCAGGAUCGAUACUUAAAAAGUAGUCCCCGAGCUCAAGGAUCUCAUGCGUAUGGGGCCAUGCAUAGGGGCUGUGGUGACCACUAUAGUUAUUCGGCAAAUUUGCAGAACUCGAAACCUGAAUAUCAUGCAAGGCCCACCCAAUCGGGCAACCAAAAUCCGGGACAAAUGUACUGCAAUACUCAGCACUAUCAGCAUAUGAAUUUUUAUCAUCCACCUCCACCUGGACCCAGAUUUCCCUGGCUUUAGAGCACAUUUUCCGGCCAAAUCCAUUUAACAAUGAUCAACUCGACAGUUUGUUAGUUUUGUUGUUAAAAGUUUAUCCAUUGCAUGUAUUUCUAUUGCGAAAUUAUUAUUUGGUAUCACAAUUCAGUGGUGACUGUCUAAAUUAUAUAUAAAACCUAAAA